UUAAUGCGGUGACUCAGUGUGGGGCCUCUAGAUAAUUUCAGGAUGGUGACUGGUCACCAGAAAGAUCAAAUAUGUGAUUAGGAAAUGGGAAUUUUCCACUCCACCCACCUCAUUCGACCUCCAGGAAGGGGAAGGGGCCCUGGUGAUUGGAUUAUAAAAACUCUUACCCAGUGAGGUUCAGAGGACUUCCAAGUUGGUAAAUACAUCAAGGUGUGGCAGGGUGACAACCCUGGACAGGGCAUGGAAGCUCUCAUCUCACCCCCACCCCCACCCCCCGCCCCACCCCGCCCCAUACCUUGCUCUAUACAUCUCUUCCAUUUGGUUUAUUUGCUCCUUUAAAAUAAACCUUAGUUCUAUGAGUCAUUCUAGCAAAUUAUUGAACUUGGGAGAGAGGAGUUGUGGGAACUCCUGAAUUUGUAGUCAGCCCAGCAGAAGUAUGGGUACCCCCAGGCACCCCAUUUGCAACUGGCAUCUCACGUAGGUUAAUCUUAUGGGACUAAGCCCUUCAACUUGUAGGAUCUGACACUAACUCCAGGUAGAUAGUGUCAGAAUUGCAUUAAAUUGUUGGGCACCCGGUUGGCAUUCGAGAAUUUGGUGGUGGUGUGGAAAAAACUCCAUAGGAACCAGUUACAAAAAGAGAGUUCCCAACUGCAGAGUAUAAGGACCCAGAGCUUUCUUAUCCCCUUGCUCUAUUUAUCAGAAAUAUGCAAAAUAAGUUUAAAAUAAAAGGCAAAUCUCUGGCAGGAGGCUCUGCGUAUUGCUGUGAAGAGCUUCAAAUGAGAUCUGAUGCAGAAUAACAUUGUAGGCAGCCACCACUGUUGGUGAGAGAGCAUCUGUACCAGCAAGUGCAUCACCACAGGCAUCCACCCGGAGCUUAAGGUAUGAAGAAACAAGCUCAGAGAGGUAAUGGACUCACCCAAGACCACACAGCAGAACAGCUACUGAGUUCAAAUUUGGGCCUGUGGUCCUAGAUCUUAGGAGAGGCUCUUUAGAGCCACCUGUCCCCUGUCCCUUGCACAGUGCCUAGCACAGGGUUAUGAACUUCAAGACUAAACUGGGAUGAGGGGCUCAGGAGGAUAAGGCAGGAGGGGUGAGGGGGAAGGACCCAGAAGUCCCAACCCUACACUUUUGUCCUCUUUCAGGAUCCUCAUGGCCUGAGGCAGAGGCCUAGACGAAUGGGCGGCAGGACAGAAUGUUCUGGCAGCCACCGACUAGAUCAGAGGCACAAAUAUUUGCUAAGCCCAGGGGCCUCCCAGACAUGCUGGCAGGGUUCAGGGAAGCAAGUGUAUGGAGCCUCUUCCUGUGGAGCCAGGGAAUCCAGGAGAAGGAGAAGCCCCUCAGAGAGUCCUCCCUGACCCCAUUUGCUUUGUCACUUUUGUAUACAAGUCUCUCACACCCUCAAGUAUGUAAAGUCCAAUCACAAAGCACCUUCUCAGCCGUGAGCUGAAUAGGGAGGUGACCCCCAUUUUAUAGAUGAGGAAACUGAGGCCCACAGAGGGAAGAGAACACGCCCAAGGGCUGGGAAAUGGGAGAGCCUGAAGUGGAGGCAGGAUGGUAAAGCUUACCCCCAACACCGACAUUCUCGAUCCUGCAUCUGGUCUGCUGCCCAGCCCUACUCAAGAACUGCCCUUGAACUUCACUGGCCUGGACUAUUACUUGCUAGUCCCCGACUGACCCCCAGACCCUCCUCUCUGGCCAGACCUCCCAUACCCUCGCUUCUUACAGCUCCCGAGGGCUGCUCUCUCCCCAGGGGAACCUCCCCUCUCUUCUUACUUCCCAGCUCAGGGAGCACUUCCUAUCUCACACCCUCCUCAAAUCUUGACCCUCCUGCCUUACCUAGCUCGGACCCAGCCUCCAGUCCAGGAAGCCCUCCUGGACUGCUCCUGUUCACAGGGCUCAUGCCCUCUCAGGAGUGGGAGCAUGAGGGGUCUGGGUCCUUCUCAGGAAUGGGAGUAAAACAGGGGUUUGAGGCCUAGUUGCAGUUCUGGCACCAGCUCACUGGGUGUUGUGGGGCUACCCUGUUCUCUCUGAGCCUCAGCUGCCUUAUCUGGACUCAGCUUGCCUGCCUCACCAGGGAACUGAGAGUAUGGGUGGGAAAACCUUGGCAGUGAGCACAGGUCACAGCUGCUGGAGUUCUUGUUGGCAUCAGCAGUACCCCAACCUUGGGCUCCAUCCAGACCCACUGUCAUCCAGCCACACACUGUCUCGACUUCUGCCUCUCCUCUGGGGGUGGGAGGCCUGAGUCUGGCCUGAGAGCUCAGCUGGGCUGGGUGCUGGGCACACAGGCACUCCACUGGCCCUAGCGAGCCAGGCCUGGGAAUGGGGCUGGGAGGGGCUGCAGCUAGAGAGGUUGGAGGCCACCUUGAGUCCCAGCCCCUAGGCAGUUCUGCCCUUCAGUCCUCCAGGGUGUUAGCAACUUUUCCCAAUCAAGAGCAAACUCUAUCUCCAUGGCAGCAAAAUUAGGAAGGGCGCCCGAGAAAUACUGGAGGUUUUUUUCCCCCCGGAGGCCGACUUUUGGAAGGCCCAAAGAAGCGCUCGCCACAAUGCCUAGAAUCAGACUGUCAUGGCGAUGCAUCGUAUGGAAGAAGCCUGCUCCCCAUCGUAGAGAUGAGGAGACUUGACACCUAGAGAGAUGCGGGGACUUGCUACCACUGUAGGGGAGACGCUAGUACGUUCAGGUAGACGGGCCGUCUUCUUGAAGUUGUUGAAGUUGUGGGCAGAGCAAGCUCCCGCUUUUUACUUAGUUUUAAUGCUAUUCUGAGUUGCUUUGGGGGCUCAGGCCCUUUCAGAGUCACCCCUUUGGCACCGCCACUGCGUCGGGUCUUCAAACGUCUAAGACAGAAAGAAGACCAAAGACCUGUAUCUCAGUUCCGAGGCUCCGGACCCUCGGAAUCCCAAGGAGGAGGGAGCCUCGCUCGCCCAGCAAGGGGUAUGGGGGCUCCGCGGGGCGGGGCACGCCGGGGGCGGGGCCGAGGCAGCUAUGGCUCCACCCCCGGUAAACUCCGGACUCGGGUAAACAAGCCUAGGCGACGCCUGGGGCUGCGCCUACAAGCCGGGCGCCGAGUUACAUCACGGUUCCCGGGAGCUUCCCGCCCCGGCCGCCAGGUCCCCGCGGCCCUCGCUUGCCCGCCGCCUGUGUCCGAGGAGCAGUGGGCCGGCGAGGAGCCUCCCUCCCCGGGCCCCCCCAGGCCAGGAAGGCCUCCAGGUUUUCUCCGGAGGCCCCUGGGACUUCGUUGACACCGGUUCAGCUAGAGGGAAGGAACUACGCCGUGGCAGCACAAGAACUGCUCCCCAGUUUCCCCACCUGUGAAACCAGGGGGCUGCGUUAGGGUUCUGUGCCUCCCAGAUGGGGGAAGAAGAGGUGCGCCCUGAGCCCAGGGCGAGGGGCCGCUCCCGACCGAGCUGGCUGUGGCUUGGAGCCGGGCUUUCUCCUUUAGCGGUGUAGUGGGUGCUCGCAAAGCCAGGUGUCCCAGAACGCAGACCCUCCCCUCCAAGGGGUCUGGGGGACCACUCAGCCGCGCAGAGCAAGGAUGACUCUGUAGUAUCCUAGCGUCUCCCUCUCCCGACUUGCUGCGGGACACCGACCCUCUGGGUAACAGGAAGACCUGCCCGCCACCCUCACAGCGGGUUUGUGCCAGCGCUUUGGAAAAGGUAUUGGGUUGCACAACCAGUGGGGGAGAUUGCCGCUCAAUAUCGACAGCUUGCACCUCGGAGCCUGAUCCGAGCAACAGGCUGCCUGAGGAGGCUGUGGGCCCCCGCCCCUGGGACACUCAAGCAGAGCGUGGGCCAGAACAGGUCACGGAGGCAGCAGAAGGGAUGCUUGCCCGAUCUCUAGGAGCUGCCCGGUCCCGGCACCCAGCGAUUUGGUGAUUCUGCACCUGCGCUGUCCAAUAAGGUAACCACUAGACACUUGUGCCCGUUGAACACUUGUAGUGUAGUUUGGGGACUCACUUGGAACCCCAGAGUUGUCAUGAAGGUCAUUUUAAGCUGAAGAUAUUUGAGAUUCAGCAGAUGCAGAAAAAAGCCUCCUGGGAGCUUCUCUUAUCUGACGAAAAGCAGCAACUUCUGGGAAAACGAAGCUACCAUAAAUCCCCUCUCCAGGGGAGUUUCACGGCCCUGAAGAAGACGAGAGACCUUUCACACUUGUAUAGACAAAUAUUAUCACAAACUUUCUUAUGUUGGUUCUCCUAAAAACCCAUUUAUCAUUCCUAAAGAAAUCUAUUUUUUUCCCCCAUAGAAGCUAUUAUUUCCCCCCAUUUUCCGUAAGUUAGGUUUGUAAACCUUUAACUUUAAUCAUUUAAUGAGCCAGUUACUUCCUUUGUUGGCUCCUGUGUGCAUAUGAAAUACACUUUUUUCUCCUGUUAA